rnacentral:rRNA from 1 species
AAUAGAUACCCAGGUAGUCCAUGCCGUAAACGUUGGGCGCUAGAUGUGGGGACCAUUCCACGGUUUCCGUGUCGCAGCUAACGCAUUAAGCGCCCCGCCUGGGGAGUACGGCCGCAAGGCUAAAACUCAAAGGAAUUGACGGGGGCCCGCACAAGCGGCGGAGCAUGCGGAUUAAUUCGAUGCAACGCGAAGAACCUUACCAAGGCUUGACAUAUACGAGAACGCUCUAGAAAUAGAGAACUCUUUGGACACUCGUAUACAGGUGGUGCAUGGUUGUCGUCAGCUCGUGUCGUGAGAUGUUGGGUUAAGUCCCGCAACGAGCGCAACCCUCGUUCUAUGUUGCCAGCGGUUCGGCCGGGAACUCAUAGGAGACUGCCGGGGUCAACUCGGAGGAAGGUGGGGAUGACGUCAAAUCAUCAUGCCCCUUAUGUCUUGGGCUUCACGCAUGCUACAAUGGCCGGUACAAAGGGCUGCAAUACCGUAAGGUGGAGCGAAUCCCAAAAAGCCGGUCUCAGUUCGGAUUGAGGUCUGCAACUCCG